rnacentral:misc_RNA from 1 species
GAAAUGCGAUAAGUAAUGUGAAUUGCAGAAUUCCGUGAAUCAUUAAAUCUUUGAACGCACAUUGCGCCGUUUGGUAUUCCGAUCGGCAUGCCUGUUUGAGAAUCGGUUUAAUAUCAUGACUAGUGUGUGUGAACAGACUAGUGCGUGGAGUUGGGGCUACUUGAUGAAAAUCGGGAGACCUUUAAUUGAUUUGUAGACUCAUCUUAAUGAAGUGCAACUGGAAGGCAAGACUAAUGAACGAAUAGUUCAGUGAUUGCUGAAAAAGGUUACAUGGAAUUUGGUUGAAGGGACAAAUAUUAAACACAAAGUGGAGACACUUUAAGACAUGAUCUCAAAUCAGGCAAGACUACCCGCUGAACUUAA